rnacentral:rRNA from 1 species
UUCCGGUUGAUCCUGCCGGACCCUACUGCUAUCGGGGUGGGACUAAGACAUGCGAGUCGUGCGUCUCUAGGCCAUGGUAGAGACGCGGCAUACGGCUCAGUAACACGUGGCUAACCUACCCUUAGGACGGGAAUACCCCCGGGAAACCACGCGCAGGCACGUAAUCACCUUUCUCGACACGCUCAAAGCAUGGCUAUGUAACGUAUAGCUCGAGUAAACCGCUUUCCUUGACGGAAAAAUCUAACCUGAGAAGCUUUGAGCCAACCAUUCACGAUAACACAUCACCGUUUUCAGAAACAACAGAAGCUCUGGCGUGGCCCAAAACUGGGGUUAAUACCCGAUGGGCGAGGAGGCCUGUAACGGUUCUUCGCUGAAAAGACGUUGGAACCAUGCUUCUCAACGUCGCCUAAGAUGGGGCCGCGGCCGAUCAGUUGUUGUGAGUAACGGCUCACCAAGCCUAUACGGUACGGGCGUGAGAGCGAAGCCCGAGAUGGGCACUGAGACAGGAUCCAGCCCUACGGGCGCAGCAGCCGCGAAACUCGCUAUGUGCGAAAGCACGACGGGCACCUCGAGUGUCAGCCGCUGAGGUUGACUUUCCUCGGUCUAAAGGCCGGGAAUAAGGGGGCAAGAUUGGUGUCAGCCGCCGCGGUAAUACCAACCCCCGAGUGGUCGGGACCAUUACUGGGCUUAAAGCGUCCGUAGCCGGUCCAGCAAGUCCUCCGUUAAAUCCGGCGUCUUAAGCGUCGGGCUGCGGAGGAUACUACUGGACUUGGGAGUGGAAGAGGCCGGCGGUACUCCUUGGGGAGGGGUAAAAUCCUCAGAUCCAAGGAGGACCAUCAGUGGCGAAGGCGGCCGGCCAGGACACGUCCGACGGUGAGGGACGAAAGCUGGGGGAGCGAUUGGGAUUAGAUACCCCAGUAGUCCCAGCUGUAAACGAUGCAGGCUAGGUGUGUGAACGGCUACGAGCCGUUCAUGUGCCGUAGAGAAAUCGUUAAGCCUGCCGCCUGGGGAGUACGGCCGCAAGGCUGAAACUUAAAGGAAUUGGCGGGGGAGCACCACAAGGGGUGAAUCCUGCGGUUUAAUUGGAUUCAACGCCGG